rnacentral:RNase_P_RNA from 1 species
UCAGGUGGCCGGAUGGCCGCCUUCGCCGCGGGUUCGGCCCGAGGCGGGGGAGGAAAGUCCGGGCUCCACGGAAACACGGUGCCGGGUAACGCCCGGCGGGGGCGACCCCAGGGACAGUGCCACAGAAAGCAAACCGCCCGGCCGCCGGCCCCACCCGGGGCCAAGACGGCCGCCGGGCAAGGGUGAAAGGGUGCGGUAAGAGCGCACCGCGGCCCCGGCAACGGGGACGGCACGGUAAACCCCACCGGGAGCAAGACCAAGUAGGGACGGCACGCCGGCUGAGCGCCGGCAGGCGGGUUUCCGCGCCGCUGUCCGGGUCGGUCGCGCGAGGCGUUCGGCAACGGGCGUCCCAGAUGAAUGGCCAUCGCCGUCGCUGGCCGCGGCGGUACAGAACCCGGCUUACAGGCCACCUGGCGCC